UGUUGACAGACUAACAUACAUUAUUAUUGAUAUUUCUGAUCAAGUUUCCGUGAUCCUUAUAAUUCUGAUCAAUUAGAAAAUAUAGUACAGUACUCCAUUUUUAAUCGUAUUUACCGUAUUUACACUUCAGCGAUCGAUAUGUGCGGUUUUCAGCUUUACAUUUCCGUCAGUUGAGGCGCAAAAUUUUCUUUAAAGCAAUAUGGUAUUUUUUAACGGUACUUCUGUAGGAGUUCGAAAUUAAAAUUUUCUUAUAAUUUAAUUUUCUAAUGAUCGUAUCAUUCAUUAAAUCAGAACGAGAAAAUAAUGAAUUUUUCCCAUAAUUUCAUCAGAGAUUGCAUAAAUAAAUACGAUAAUUAUUAAUUUUAUCAUAAGUGAAUAAGUUAUAAGUUAUUUUUUGAAAUAAUUUUUGGAGUUACGUAAAACAAUGAAUUUUUAUUUAUUCUUUCCACCUAAUCGCUGAAAACGUUUUACAUUAAAAAAUAAAACUAAAUAACACUGUUGGUUAGGAUUUAACUCAGCCUAGGUUAUAACGAUACUUGACUAUAACAAACAUCACACUCUUUAGAUGAUAUAAGAGUUCUACUUGAACAUUAAAAUGGCUGUUUAUUUGAACUUCAAUGCUACAUAAUAGAUCUUUAUGGACAUAAUAUAUAUACGAAAAUUUUUUUGAAAUCAACAUUAAUUCAUCGGUCGGAUGAUCACGGUAGAAGUGUAAUGUGCUUCUAUUUAGGAAGAUUCGAAUUCAGUUUCCAAAUUUACAUUCAGAGGUUUUUCAGAAAGGUCUGGACCUAACCCGUUAAAUCCUUAUCCUCUUCCUGAUGGCUAAUCCUAUCGGGAGUCAGUCGGAUUGGCCGCGUGGAAAUGCUUCGGCUUUCCACUCUGGAGGACCCGGGUUUGAGUUUCGGGUCCAAUCUCUUGAAAAAUGUUUAUCAUGGAGUCCGGGCCGGCCCUCGAUCCCCGUCUUUCCCAAUCUGGCUGACCCUUCCGUCAGCCAGAUUGGGGAGCCUAUUGAAGAGUUUUUUCGACCCAUCACUUGGUGGUCUAAUAGAAUGGAAAGUGGCGUCAUCUAUUGACCAAAAAAGAUCUUCAUCAAGAGUGCAGAUAGUCUGUGGUGGAAUCAGAAAUGUUUUAUAUGUCCUUGGGUGGAAUAUAUCGAUGAUGGUGGAUACUAGAAUGCCUUACCGCUUAGCACCAACAAGGGGAAAAUGGCGAUAAACCACAUAGAGAAAAAAAUAUGAAGAAUUUUACAAAAUAAUUUCAGUUUUAAUAUUGUAUAAUAAAAAUAAAAAUUUUUUACACCUAGAUCAGAAUUCAGUUCAGAGUCCAAGAUCUCCAAUUUUCAAGAGCCUUUGGGGUUAGAUUAUAAUAUGUUAGUUACGCUGCCAUAUCACACUUGAGAUAUUCUGGCGGUGGGCCACUUUCAGAGUCUGCCUAUCUUUCAGCUGAACCCAUUAUGACUAGCACCCAUGAUAGGGUCAGCCAAAAGAUUGAAGAAUGGUGUUAAACAAGCCAGGCUCCGGAUCCCUUUUGAAAAACUAGAGAUCGUAGGAUCCGGAUCUUCCACGGUAGUAAGCGAAUGUUUUACCACACGGCCAUCCGACUAGGAGGAGUUGGGUUCGGCCCGUUGAU
rnacentral:lncRNA from 1 species